GGUAAAGUGGCCGAAGUAGGUAUUAGGCUGUAAACCUAAAUAUAGAGGUUUUAGUCCUCUUUUUACCA
rnacentral:tRNA from 1 species